rnacentral:rRNA from 1 species
UACGAAGGGGGCUAGCGUUGUUCGGAAUUACUGGGCGUAAAGCGCACGUAGGCGGAUACUUAAGUUAGGGGUGAAAUCCCGGGGCUCAACCCCGGAACUGCCUUUAAUACUGGGUAUCUCGAGUUCGAGAGAGGUGAGUGGAAUUCCGAGUGUAGAGGUGAAAUUCGUAGAUAUUGGGAAGAACACCGGUGGCGAAGGCGGCUCACUGGCCCGUAACUGACGCUCAGGCGCGAUAGCGUGGGGAUCAAACAGG